AGUGAACGCUGGCGGUAGGCCUAACACAUGCAAGUCGAACGGCAGCACAGGAGAGCUUGCUCUCUGGGUGGCGAGUGGCGGACGGGUGAGGAAUACAUCGGAAUCUACUCUGUCGUGGGGGAUAACGUAGGGAAACUUACGCUAAUACCGCAUACGACCGACGGGGAAAAGCAGGGGACCUUCGGGCCUUGCUCGAUUGAAUGAGCCGAUGUCGGAUUAGCUAGUUGGCGGGGUAAAGGCCCACCAAGGCGACGAUCCGUAGCUGGUCUGAGAGGAUGAUCAGCCACACUGGAACUGAGACACGGUCCAGACUCCUACGGGAGGCAGCAGUGGGGAAUAUUGGACAAUGGGCGCAAGCCUGAUCCAGCCAUACAGCGUGGGUGAAGAAGGCCUUCGGGUUGUAAAGCCCUUUUGUUGGGAAAGAAAUCCAGCUGGCUAAUACCCGGUUGGGACGGCGGUACCCAAAGAAUAAGCACCGGCUAACUUCGUGCCAGCCGCCGCAGUAA
rnacentral:rRNA from 1 species